rnacentral:rRNA from 1 species
GACGAACGCUGGCGGCGUGCCUAACACAUGCAAGUCGAGCGAACGGACGAGAAGCUUGCUUUUCGGAUGGUAGCGGCGGACGGGUGAGUAACACGUGGAUAACCUCCCUUUAAUACUGGGAUAACGUCGUGAAACCAGCGCUAAUAACGCAUGAUAUUUUGAACCUCAUGGUUCAAAAGUGAAAGACGUUCUUGCUGUCACUUAUAGAUGCAUCCGCGCUGCAUUAUCUAGUUGGUAAGGUAACGGCUUACCAAGGCAACGAUGCAUAGCCGACAUGAGAGGGUGAUCGGCCACACUGGAAGUGAGACACGGUCCAGACUCUUAAGGGAGGCAGCAGUAGGAAAUCUUCCGCAAUGGGCGAAAGCCUGAUGGAGCACCGCGGCGUGAGUGAUGAUGGUCUUCGGAUCGUAAAACGAUGUUAUUAGGGAAGAACAUAUGUGUAAGUAACUGUGCACAUCUUGACGGUACCUAAUCAGAAAGCCACGGCUAACUACGUG